GACUUGCUUGAAAUUUAGCAUAUCUCGUUGUUUAGAAGAUGUGGUUCCUUUUGGUUAUGCUUGGGGCAGAACAGUAAUGCCUAAUGUUGUAAAUACAACACCUGCUCAUGUAAUAUUGUUCGUUCACCAAAAAAAAAAUUGAUAUAAGAUAAGCUGUGUUCUUAGAUAUAAGAGAAGUUGACUUAAGAAAACGCAUAAUUCAAAUACCUUUGUUGUGACAAUUUGCUAUGAGCCUUAGUAGUACCUUUUAUAGUUCAGCUAGGGGAAGAAUCUAGUUGGCAAUAUUCUGUCAAUUUUUUUUUUUUUAAUAUUUGUAAACGAAUCAGCUAGUAUUUUCUUGAGUUUAAGUUUGAUUUUAAAGGUACAAAGCUGAAAUUAAAGAGAACUAUGAUGUAUGUGGUCUUCUUAGACAGAUGACAACAAAGACUCAACCUGCAGAUUAAUUCACCGAGCCUCCAACAAUUGAGUUUUCACAAAUUUACUUGGAUGAAGUGGGUGAGUUAAGAAGGCAUGCACUUAUGACCUUGUUUCUCUGGCAGCUUUCCAAGGAAAUUUUGGUGCAUCAUCCUCUUUGACUUCUCGACUUCAAGAUCGUGAUUUUGACGUUCGGGUGAAGGAAUGCGUUGUAUACCGUUUACAAGAGAUUGAGGAUGAGAUGAAGCAUGACAUGAGAGAAGAUGAGACAAGAAAUGAGAGAAGAAAUAAGACAAGAAAUGCGUCAAGAAAUGAGACACGAAAUGCAGCGAUAGGUGCACAAGCAAGUAGAUAAGAUUCUACAAGCCUGUAUGUCAGUUCUCAUUGCUAGCCCACCUAUAAUGUCCACUUGUAUGCUACAUCAGUUUAGACACACGUCAUCAAUUAAAUAAGGAUACGGGUUAUAUUUAAAUAGUUUUAACUCUUUAUCUUAGACUAUUGCAUUGUUAUUCAAAUUAUGGUUUAUAAAAGGACUACUAAUAUUGUUGGAUUUA